GGUCAAGCGAAUAAGCGCACAUGGUGAUGGCCUUGGCACA
rnacentral:rRNA from 1 species